CUGCGCUCUUAGUAUCUGUUAAUUAAAGCUCCAUAGGGUCUUCUUGUCUUGUUAUUAUAUUCCCGUCUCUUCACGGGAAGGUCAAUUUCACAGAUUGGAAGUAAGAGACACGUCUGACUUCAGCCAGGUCACGAUCUCGCG